GUCAGAAUCCGGGCCAGAAGCGACGCGUUGUCCGCCGCUCGUUUGCCGACCAGCAGUAGGGGCCCUCCGGCCCCCAAAGGCACGUGUCGUUGGCUAAGCCCUCGCGGCGAACGAGCCGCGCGGGCCGCCUUGAAUUACAAUUUCCACCGGGCGGCGGACUGAAUCCUUUGCAGACGACUUAAAUACGCGACGGGGUAUUGUAAGUGGCAGAGUGGCCUUGCUGCCACGAUCCACUGAGAUUCAGCCCUUCGUCGCUCCGAUUCGU
rnacentral:ncRNA from 1 species